GUUGCAGUUAAAAAGCUCGUAGUUGGAUUUCGGAGUGGGCCAGUUGGUCCGCCGCAAGGUGUGUUACUGACUGGUUUGCUCUUCUGCGCAAAGACUGCGUGUGCUCUUUGUUGAGUGUGCGUAGGAUUUACGUCGUUUACUUUGAAAAAAUUAGAGUGUUCAAAGCAGGCUAUUGCUUGAAUACAUGAGCAUGGAAUAAUGGAAUAGGACUUUGGUCCCAUUUUGUUGGUUUCUAGGACCGAAGUAAUGAUUAAGAGGGACAAUUGGGGGCAUCCGUAUUUCGUUGUCAGAGGUGAAAUUCUUGGAUUU
rnacentral:rRNA from 1 species